rnacentral:lncRNA from 1 species
AAUGAAAUCUGACUAGAAAAAAAUGCUUAUUUAAGUCUGAGAAAGUGACUAGGAAAUGGCAUUCAGAAAAUUCCCCUGUCUGAACUAUUGUAAUAGAAUGUAAACAGAUUUGUGAGUUAGAUACUAGUGUCAUGCAGAACUGCUAAUGUUUGUAGUUCAAGAUGGGUUGGCCAUUGUCAAUUCCAUAUGUUUUGACCUUAUACAAUGAGGUCUUUCUGUUGUGAGGUAUUCUGGGCCAGGUGUGUAGCAGGGACUGUGAGAAAUGAAAAAGGAAGACAGUUGAAGUUUCCUUGCAGUGAUAAAGGCAAGAAAGCAUGACUGUUUUUCAUAAAGCAGUAGCUAGGAGGGAGAGAUUGAAUCAUUUCUAAACUGAAAUAACAGAUAACCAAGUGGAUAUAAGGGGUGAGAAAGUGAGAAUCAUCAGGAGGAUGCUGAGAUUUCAGGAAAAGAAACAGUGAAUUUCGAAAAGAGUUUUGUUUAUUUUUUUCACAUUUCUAUAAGGUUUAUUCUUUUGGAUUCCACACUAAUUCAAAAAAUGCAUUUGUUUUAAAAAAACAAACAUGCCAAGAAAAAGUGACAAUUCCCAGAACCCAAAGUUGCCUACUGGAGCACAGCACUUCUGGUGAGGAAGCAGGUACUGUUGCUGAAAAAUGCAUUGUUGGCUUGUUACUUAACACUGCUUUCCUGGUCUCAGAACUAGAGAAAUAG